rnacentral:rRNA from 1 species
GAUGAACGCUGGCGGCGUGCCUAAUACAUGCAAGUCGAGCGAACGGACGAGAAGCUUGCUUCUCUGAUGUUAGCGGCGGACGGGUGAGUAACACGUUGAUAACCUACCUAUAAGCCUGGGAUCACUUCGGGAAACCGGAGCUAAUACCGUAUAAUAUUUUGAACCGCAUGGUUCAAAAGUGAAAGACGGUCUUGCUGUCACUUAUAGCUGGAUCCGCGCUGCAUUAGCUAGUUGGUAAGGUAACGGCUUACCAAGGCAACGAUGCAGAGCCGACCUGAGAGGGUGAUCGGCCACACUGGAAGUGGGCCACGGUCCAGACUCCUACGGGAGGCAGCAGUAGGGAAUCUUCCGCAAUGGGCGAAAGCCUGACGGAGCAACGCCGCGUGAGUGAUGAAGGCCUUCGGAUCGUAAGACUCUGUUAAUAGGGAGGAACAUAUGUGUAAGGAACUGUGCACAUCUUGACGGUACCUAAUCAGAAAGCCACGGCUAACUACGUG